AUCAGUGAAACUGAUCUCUCCGUGAAGAAGCGGGGAUAUUUACAUAAGACGAGAAGACCCCAUGGAGCUUUAAACCCGAUGUCACCCAUUUUCCUCUACACCCUAAUAUUCAAUUUGGCCCUGCCCUGNCGGUUUUAGGUUGGGGUGACCACGGAGUAUAAUAUACCCUCCAUGAAAAAGGGAGUAAUAAUCCUUAUUAGAGAACAACACUUCUAAAAAUUAAAACAUUAAUUUAUAAUGAUCCGAUAUUCGAUCAACGAACCAAGUUACCCUGGGGAUAACAGCGCANUCUGCCUCAAGAGCCCCUAUCGACAGGCGGGUUUACGACCUCGAUGUUGGAUCAGGGCAUCCCAGUGGUGCAGCA
rnacentral:rRNA from 1 species